UCUGGAUUGCUCCUACACUCAAAGGAGGACGCAGUGAGGCCUAGUGUGGAUGCUGGGCGGGAGGGGAGGCCGCUCUCCCAGCUUGCCUGAUACUGGCCUACCGCUGAAUCCUACUAUAGCCCUGCCCCCCCCCUCUGGACAGGUGGGGGUGAUCCCAAUCCAAACCCCAAAGGCUCCAAUACUACACUGUGCCCAAGCGACACUUACAAGCAGUACCGACACUACCACUGCAAUGGCGGUUGCCCCAUGCUUGCCUGACCCAUGCGGUGAGAGAUGGGAUGUGGAGAGCAGGCUGACAGAGCUAUUCAACGCCUUCUUUGUGAAGCUGACCGCUUGCGUGUGGCACACGGCUCAUGAUCUUAAGCCAGACCUCAUUUUUCACAGUCCGGCACAUCCAGACAGGCCGGAAGAAGAGGAGCCCGCUUCUGAUCAGACCUGUCCUAUACACCAGCACUCGGAGAGACACAUCUUGACGUAUACUGAGAACAACCCCUUUGGAUCCCUGAUGCUGUGCCUACAUGUUUCCUGAAUGGAC